UACCCAUGAAUUCUGAACUGUUAUUCCUUAACCCAGUUUGGAGGAUAAGAGCUUACCAACUAGUUAUAAAUAUGCUGAGGCGAUGUAUUGCAAAAUAGCCAACAUACAACAAUUAAAGGAUAAUUGCAGACUACGUCCUGAUGAAGAUAUGGAUGACCCUCUGUCUGGUCAACAAUAGUUUAAAUAUGGACGGGACAGUGAUGUGGCAGCUCUUCCCUAGCUCAUUCACCUCUUGCCUUCAUUUGUGAAAGGAAGAAAGACUGGAGAGGGUCAAUGUGCAACUGAAGCUACUGAUUGUGCUGUGUGAUGAGCAUCAAUCCAUGCUUUGAGGUGGAUGGAUCAGCACAGCCCUGCCUGCUCUGCGUUGGGAACAGAAGUUGCAUCCAGAGUUUUUGCAUCAUUCUGGACCAAAAAGCCAUUCCCUGCAUGAUGAAGACCACUGAUGCAGCCUUCCACUACAUCAUGAGUAAAACAACUACAGAACUUAAUACCAGGUUGGAACGUAUUUAAAAAAAAUAAAAAAAAUAAUACCUUACAUUUCUCAGUACUCAAAGCGCUUUACAUAUGAACGGGGGAAUCUCCUCAACCACCACCAAUGUGCAGCAUCCACCUGGAUGAUGCGACGGCAGCCAUAUUGCGCCAGACCGCUCACCACACACCAGCUUAUUAGUGGAGAGGAGACCGAGUGAUAUAGCCAAUGAGUAUGAGGGAUGAUUAGUAGGCCAAUGGGCAAGUUUGGCCAGGAUGCCGGGGCACACCCCUACUCUUUUCGAAGGACAUCCUGGGAUUUUUAAUGACCACAGAGAGUCAGGACCUCGGUUUAACGUCUCAUCCGAAGGACGGUAUUUAAGAAAAAUUAAACGUCUUUUGAAUUGAAAUGUCUGUUUUGUUAUGGAAAAAUCUUUAGUAUUGUGAAGGAUAAGCAUUUCUGCCUGCCAGUAAGGUAAUUGCAGUGUAUUUUAAUAUUCAAGUUUUGAGUAGGGUGGCUAAUUUUUUUUAACUCUCAUUUGAUUUAUUAAAGACCUUAUAAUAAGUAGUUUUCAUGUCACUGCGCUGUGGUAUAAGAUAACUUUCAUUAUUCCAUACUGUAUUCUGUUUCUAAUUGUAGCUGAGGUAUUUAAAUAAGCAGUGUUAAAUGCAAAAUGUUGUGUGUAUCAA